CUGCAAGCUCCGCCUCCCGGGUUCACGCCAUUCUCCUGCCUCCGGCUUCCAAGUAGCUGGGAAUACAGGCGCCCGCCACCACGCCCGGCUAAUAUUUUUGUAUUUUUAGUAUAGACAGGGUUUCACCGUGUUAGCCAGGAUGGUCUUGAUCUCCUGACCUCGUGAUCCGCCCGCCUCGGCCUCCGAAAGCGCUGGGAUUACAGGCGUGAGCCACCGCGCCCGGCCAUUGCUUUCUUGCAGCAACUGGGGAUUGUUGAUUCGGGACCCCUAGUCGGAGGGUGAUUUACACGUCAGUUGCAGCGCGUUGGUCAAUGUUCCAGGCUGUCAGCUCGGCACCGCCCUCAGGGCUCAAGCUACACAGGGCAUUGAAAGCAGGAAUUCUGUCAUUACAGCCCCAGGAAAAUGGAAGAAGAGGAAAAUGAAAAAAGACAAAAGGGAUAUGAUGCUGGGCAAAAUCCCACCAAAAUCAGACGUAGGAAGGAAUCCAGCCCUUUUGCCCAGUAGAAUUAUGGGGGAAAAGGAGAAGCAAAUGGCGAGACACUUGAAUUCCAAGCUCUCCUCUUGAAGUGGAAGCCGUAGAGAAAGGAGGCAUGUUAGGUUGAAGAAAGAUGGUGAGGUUCCCAGAGACUAGCCACUUCAGGAAGCUCUUCUUACCCUUCGGGAUAAAGGGAGCAGAGAAGGAAAAAGCAGAGUCCAUGGAAUCAUGGGGACACACAGCAAUGCCAGAGACUUCUUGCCAAAGCAAGGAGCGAGCAGGGAAGAAAAGCUCCCACCUCUCACCUUCCAAACCUCAGGCUCCUGCUGGUGUCUCCCAUUAACCAAAACCACAGACACCAACCAGCAAGAAAGCCAGGGACCUAGAGUCAGUAGGGGUAAAUAGAGCCUUUCAGGACACGGAGAAGGGCAGGCAAAGGCACAGAUGGGUGUAGCCAGGGGCAGCAAGGGGAGAAUAACCAGGCACCUCCUUCCAUUCCAGCAUGAGGGCCUGGAAGCCCCUCUUUCUUGCACAUGCACAUGCCAUGCUGGGGAGCGGCAAUGGGAGUUCCGAAAUACUGAACAUUUAUCUAGAGACUGAGUCACUUAAAGCAACUGCUGAAAUUAUUGAAACAGACUGUUUUCUAAUCUAGACUAAAAUAUACUAUAUUUUUCUCUCUAUCCAUCAGUCCAUUGUAAUGAAAAUUUAAUCAAUUACUUAAAGCAAUAAAAGAAACUACAUUUUUAUUGUACAACUUACUGAAGUGUGAGGAAAUGGGUGGAUCCUUCCCACUUUGUAUCCUCUCUACCGUUCUCUACUUCCAAGGUAACUGAGGUGACUUAACAAUGAAACAAGUCAGAAAUGUCCUGAUAGAGACCAAAGGAAGACAAUAUUUCAGACUCCUCUGGAGAGGAAAGCAUCUUCUGGCUCAAUUAGCAUGCUAAAGAAUGGGUUUGGUUUCGUGCUCCAUUAAAGUCAACUAAAUAGAUGCGCUGCAUGUCUUUAUUUCAAAAAUAAAGCUGAACAAUUAAAUCCCGUGUCUCUUUGCUCAGUUUUUGAUCCCACACAAAGCUUUCCCACUUGCUGCCUUUGGAUGUAAUGUUAACAAAGUCAGUUAACAUCAAGCACUGCAGUAACAGGCAUGGCAGAAUUCCUUGUUUUUGCUCAAUCAGUCUGUGUUCAAACUAUCAGUUUGAUUUAUUUGUCCACAUUGACCCUUAUUCACCACUUAAUUAUCCUCGUAUAAUGUUUCAAGAGGCUCCUGACACAAGGAGAAAGACAAUCGCCGAUGUUCUGUAAAACAACGGUUGACCUGAUGGGCCCAGAUGAAGACCGUGGGUCGGAGUUUGUUUGCUUUUGGAAGAACCCACUUCUCCUGUCCGAGAGCUGCAUCCAGAGCCACUCGCUGUGGGUGCCACAGGCUGGCCGGUCAAGCUGUUCGUCAGGUUCUCAAACUGUGAGCUGACCAUCACCACGGGAUAGUCAUGGCGUUUUGCUCUAUUGGCCUCUCCAAAUCCCCCGGUAUGUUGGGUGUAUUAGAGUUCAGAAAAAAACAAAACCCAUGCACCCACUAACACACAAACACACACACACACACACACACACACACACUGAACCUCAAUUUCAGCAAUGUCUUUAUUAGUAUAUGGUUACUGCUGUGAUUAGAAAUACAUUUUCUCACUUUGUGUAUGAACAGGAAAGGUUUUCGAAUCACAGGUAUGAAAUGAGAAAUAAUAUUUAAACAUUGAACUGCUUCAUAUUGUAGUUGAUCUCUAAGCUCCUGCUCAUAAACCAGAUGAAUUAUAAUUUUAUUGGAAAAUAAACCAAUGUCUUUUAUACCUAGCCAGAAAUACUAUUUAUUGUAAUAGGUUUCAUGUGAAAUUAAGACAAUUAUUUUAGAACUGUUGAAAUCUGACAACUAUUCUAUAUUCAUAGCCCUUAACAUUCAAAUAUAAAUUACUGAUAGUUAAAAACAGAUAAUAAACAUCAACAUUUCUAGAAAAACAGCCCAUAUAAAUAUAAAAUCAUAAUUUUAUAUUUUGAAGUGAUUUUCUAUAAAAAUUUUAAAUCUUUUAUGGCAAGUUGAGCCCAUAUUUCAUUUGGCUACACCUUAGUAUGCAUAAAUGGUUUUUGCAACACCCUACUAACCUUGGUUUGUCAUUUUAAUUUUUUACACAUUUUCCUCUCCUGUUUAGUACAUUUUCCAUCUUAUUAAAUUUUACUCUGCACAGUUACCAAUGCAAAUGACAGCCUAAUUGUUUUUCAUACAUUAAAAAUGUUCAUCAAUGUCGUUUGAACCUAAAAUUAGAAAAUCAUACUCUAACAUAGCCUCCAUGUGUUGGUGACGUUUAUUCUUUUGUGUCUUAGCCUUUCUCUGUGAUGGACAUAUGAUCACAAAUGUUGCUGCACAGAAACAAUAACACAAGAAUUAGAUAAAUGACAGAUGACAAUUUCAAAAUGAAAAAUAUCAAAUAUUUCUAAAAGCUACUUGGUAGGAUUUUUUUUACUGCUGUAACUGUAACCAAAACUCUGAGAAGCAUUUUUGGAAGCCCCAGUUACCAGUAUGAAAGCCACCAGAAUAGAGUCUUGUACAUGCCACAACCCCGAACUCUCAUUCCGUCAUCCUGGGGAGGUCUGAGAUCCCAGCAGAGAUGGUCUGGUGGCCAGUGACCUUCUAUUUGAUUUGGUGCAGAGGGACUGAGCAUCUGGAGGCCAACCACGUGGCCUGGGCGUCCCACUCAAACUUGCUAGCUGCAAUUUCCUCAUCAUCGAGGACUUUCUAUCUUCUGAGGUUGGAUACAGAGUCCCCAGGAGUCCCGGUAGUGUUCAAGAUGACACAAGUCUGAGAGGACAUGAGCUGAGCCAGGCACACCAGUGACCUGCAGGCCUGCACACCCAGCUUUGACCAGGGUGGAUCCACUUUUUUCAGUUCUUUUCCAUAUCAGAUUUUUUUUUCCAGAAUGAAGUGUCCUGUGGCCUUUAAAGAGUUUUGUUUUGUUUUGUUUUGUUUUGUUUUAAGACCUGAAUAUAGAGGCCUUCCAGCUCUGGGAUUAUGUAACUCUAGGAAUAAAAUCAUAGUUCUUACAGCUGAAAGAAUACAAUAAGACAAAGUAGAAUAGGCAAAAAACCUGAGGUGGAAAAUCUGGCCUCCGUGUUGUCCCUUAAACAGGCUCACCGUCCUUCCAAUGGGUUCAAUUAUUUGCUACUGAAGAAAUCAUUCCGUAUGUUCCCCUGUCUGCAAACACACGGGCCUGAGAUCCCCUAAGUAAGAACACCAGUGGCAAGAUGAAGACACAAUCAGGGACUUGUUCCAACAUGGACUCCUGCUCUAAGAAAGCCCACAAAGCUGCUCUCUCUGUUCUGGCCUUGCUGUCUAAUACCAAGGAAUUUUCAUGACAUGUUCCAAUAGAAAUGACCAAAAUAAAAAUCUCUCUGAGAAAAAUGCCGCCCUCUUCUAAAAAUUAUUGUUGUUGUUGCUUUAUCUCAUUUUUCUGCUCAAUGUUUCUUUCUACCUGAAAACAAAUUUUUUAAUCUGAAAAAAUAAUUUGCUUUCAACUCUUUUUGCUACCUCCACCUGUUUCCUCCCAAAUCAGGUCUGUGUCAAAAG
rnacentral:lncRNA from 1 species